rnacentral:tRNA from 1 species
GCCGACGUAGCUCAGUGGUAGAGCAGCUGAUUCGUAAUCAGCAGGUCGUGAGUUCAAUCCUCACCGUCGGCUCCA